GAUGACCAGCUCCCCUCAAUUUCGGUCUUUUGGCAAUCUCUGGUAAAUCAUCGCCGAACAGUUUUGAUUCAGAGACAUCCAAAGGGCCGGGGUAGGGUAUUAAAGUAGUUGUCCCAUGCAAGCAGCCUGGUUUCUUGGAAGCAGAAUGUGAUAGAAGAUGUCGGAGAACGGACCGAGUGGUAGUUCGAAGAUGACUUCUGUCGCGCGCUGUGAAAAAGAAGACGCUUUACGAAUCACUGACCAACACGGCCAGUGACCGGGUUCCUGGGUCCUAGCCCCCCUGAUCACCCCGACAGUCGCAGACGCGGGUAGGGAUACGUCCUUACCAAAAAAUAAAUACUUGAACAACUGUUAACAGUGGAUAUCUUGGUUCUC
rnacentral:misc_RNA from 1 species